rnacentral:rRNA from 1 species
CUGCGGAAGGAUCAUUACCAAACGAUUCUUUGGAUUCAGUUAGUAGCUUUUUGAUGYGGYGCAAGCCAAAUCGAGAAGUAGUUGGUUGACCGUAAUUAGGAGAAAUCCUUCCAGCUGCACUGAUUGGAUUCAGAGUUUAAUCAACCCCCUGUGAACUAUAAACCCGUACUGUUAUUGUCUUUUGGGUGGUACUGAAGCUGUUUACAGUCGAUGUGCUGCCCAGAAGCGAUAGCGCUUUAUUGAACUACUAAACGAAUUAUAUCYAUACGCAAAAUCUCUUUAUUAUUUAAUAAUAAUAAUUGACAACUUUUAACAGUGGAUCUCUAGGCUCGUGGAUCGAUGAAGAGCGCAGCAAAAUGCGAUACGUAAUGUGAAUUGCAGAAUUCAGUGAAUCAUCGAAUCCUUGAACGCAAAUUGCGGUGUYGGGUAUUCCCGGCACCAUGCUUGGUUGAGUGUCACUUAAUCUAACAAAAUUCAAUUUAUUUUGGGUAUUGUUACAGAUGAGGUUACGAGGCGUCUAUUUAAUAGAACUUCGAACCUUUAAUGACUAGCAAGACGCAUGACUUUUGAAGUUCAUUGCAGCUACUUGUGUGGCAAUAUUGUUUCGACAAUUUAAAGCGCAUSUUGGCUCAGUGGAUGUUAAUUCUUAAAUCAUUGCUGUUCUUACAAAUCUGACUCUAUAUGUCUUCGGACUUAGAAUUUUGACCUCAGCUCAAGCAA